CUCGUAAAUCUGAACACUUUCUUUUGAGAAAGCUGACUGACUAAUCUUCUGUAAUGCUAUUAUGAGGAUUGCCCUUUGAGGUUCAUAGCAAUAGGUCACCCUAUGGUUGGUCACAUGCAUUUGCGAG
rnacentral:sRNA from 12 species